rnacentral:rRNA from 1 species
CCUACGGGGGGCAGCAGUGGGGAAUAUUGCACAAUGGGCGCAAGCCUGAUGCAGCCAUGCCGCGUGUGUGAAGAAGGCCUUCGGGUUGUAAAGCACUUUCAGCGGGGAGGAAGGCGUUAAGGUUAAUAACCUUGUCGAUUGACGUUACCCGCAGAAGAAGCACCGGCUAACUCCGUGCCAGGAGCCGCGGUAAUACGGAGGGUGCAAGCGUUAAUCGGAAUUACUGGGCGUAAAGCGCACGCAGGCGGUCUGUCAAGUCGGAUGUGAAAUCCCCGGGCUCAACCUGGGAACUGCAUUCGAAACUGGCAGGCUAGAGUCUUGUAGAGGGGGGUAGAAUUCCAGGUGUAGCGGUGAAAUGCGUAGAGAUCUGGAGGAAUACCGGUGGCGAAGGCGGCCCCCUGGACAAAGACUGACGCUCAGGUGCGAAAGCGUGGGGAGCAAACAGGAUUAGAUACCCUAGUAGUC